ACCAUUCACGAAAAAUCCACUGAGGCCGCAAGUGUUAUUCAGAAGCGAACCUGACUGUUCACUAUGAAGAUUGCAAUCAUUCUACUUGCGAUUCUGUUGGUUUGCUCUGCUAGUUAUCUGGAAGACACUGAGGCAGACUCUGAAGUACUCAGCGACUCUUUUCUUCGCCAAGAGCGCGGAUCCUGCAUUCAGAGAAGCAACAGGCUCUGUUUCAAGGCAAAUAGGGCCAAUUGCCUUGGAUCUUAUUUCAGGAGGUUCUGUCGAAUGUCAUGUGGAUUUUGCUGAUCCACCUGUCCAGUGCUGCUAUCCACGUUCAGUUAUUACUUCAUUUAUUUUCCCCUGCAGUGCUACUCGUGGAUGAUGGGUGAUGGAUAAAGAGUAUAGUUACAGCAUGAUGAAAUUUUCCUUUUAAUCCAUUAACUUGUUUCAACUUACUACACGAGACUGCACUUUAAUUAGCCGAGAAAAAAAAAAAUAAAGGUAUCAAUUUAAAAAGAAAAUGAAAACGAUUUUUGUGUGGGAUUUCCCACACUUUGUCAACGCCAGCGAAACUUAUUUAUUUGUUUGUCCACGAGAGCAAAGCGUUUGUCACAUGGUUUCUUCUUGGCGUGUAGACUGGGUUCCACUAGCAAAGUGUUUUUGUGCGGCGGCCAUUAGUGUGAUUACUCUUACCGGGUGUUGUUUUUUGGUGAGUUUUGACUUGUUUUUAGGCCUUAGGUCUUAGUGUUUUUAGACACUCUCUGCCGUAUUUAUUUUUGCGCAGUGGCUAUUCGUGCACCUGUACGGCGACUUGUAUUUGCUAUUCGUACGGGAGUCAGAAGGUUUCAUUUUAUUUCUCUGUAAUUGCUGAUUCUUCCUUAUCCAAAUUGUUAUAUUCACCUUUAGGAAAAAUAAGCGAUUCCAAUGAGUACCGUUUUUUUAAGCCAGAUUAAUUUGCGUACUCUCUGCAUACUCGGCGAACGACCCACUCGCCACACUUCAAAUUUUUUACGAGCCGCGAUGUUAAUACUCACGCACAUGUCACGCGAUAAGAAGGGACCGUACAGCUACUGGUAUCUGCUAUCCAUACGGGAUUCCUCGAGUAUA